AUUGAACGCUGGCGGCAUGCUUUACACAUGCAAGUCGAACGGCAGCGCGGUCUUCUUCCUGGCGGCGAGUGGCGAACGGGUGAGUAAUACAUCGGAACGUGCCCAGCAGGGCUGUAUAGCUCGUCGAGAGCCGUAUUAAUACCGCAGACUACCUGAUGGUGAAAGCGGGGGAUCUUCGGACCGCUCGCUAUGGUAGCGGCCGAUGGCAGAUUAGCUAGUUGGUGGGGUAAAUGCUUACCAAGGGGACGAUCUGUAGCUGGACUGAGAGGACGACAAGCCACACUGGGACUGGGCCACGGCCAUGACUCCUAAGGGAGGCAGCAGUGGGGAAUUUUGGACAGUGGGGGGAAGCCUGGUCCAGCAAUGGGGCGUGUGUGAUGAAGGCCUUCGGGUUGUAAAGAACUUUUGGCGGGAACGAAAAGGACUGUGCCAAUACCACGGUUCGAUGACGGUACCCGCAGAAUAAGCACCGGCUAACUACGUG
rnacentral:rRNA from 1 species